rnacentral:piRNA from 1 species
UNCCUGAGUGUCAAAGCAGAAUUUGGUGAG